rnacentral:rRNA from 1 species
AUUAGGGAAGAACACCCAGUGGGGAAGGGCGAUUCUUUUGGACUGUAACUGACACUGAGGCACGAAAAGCGUGGGUAGCAAACAGGAUUAGAUACCCUGGUAGUCCACGCCGUAAACGAUGAGUACUAGGUGUAGGAGGUAUCGAUCCCUUCUGUGCCGCAGCAAACGCAAUAAGUACUCCGCCUGGGAAGUACGAUCGCAAGAUUAAAACUCAAAGGAAUUGACGGGGGCCCGCACAAGCAGCGGAGCAUGUGGUUUAAUUCGAAGCAACGCGAAGAACCUUACCUGGACUUGACAUCCCUUGCAUAACCUAGAGAUAGGCGAAGCCCUUCGGGGCAAGGAGACAGGUGGUGCAUGGUUGUCGUCAGCUCGUGUCGUGAGAUGUUAGGUUAAGUCCUGCAACGAGCGCAACCCUUAUUGUUAGUUGCUAACACGCAAUGGUGAGCACUCUAACGAGACUGCCGCGGUUAACGCGGAGGAAGGUGGGGAUGACGUCAAAUCAUCAUGCCCCUUAUGUCCAGGGCGACACACGUGCUACAAUGGGUAUAACAGAGAGAUGCAAUACCGCGAGGUGGAGCCAAACUCAAAAACUACUCUCAGUUCGGAUUGUAGGCUGAAACUCGCCUACAUGAAGCUGGAGUUGCUAGUAAUCGCGAAUCAGAAUGUCGCGGUGAAUACGUUCCCGGGCCUUGUACACACCGCCCGUCACACCAUGAGAGCUGGCAACACCCGAAGUCCGUAGUCUAACGUAAGAGGACGCGGCCGAAGGUGGGGUUAGUGAUUGGGGUGAAGUCGUAACAAGGUAACCGU